CAGGGAGACAACAAAAUGUUUAAUAUUAUUAUUUUGUCACCUUAGGUCGAUCGGUAUCUCACGUUCUUAAUUUAUUAAGAAUUUCAUUUCCUAAGUUUUUCUAGGUCACACCCAUUAUUUUUCCUGGGCCAUUAGCUCAGGUGGUUAGAGCGCACCCCUGAUAAGGGUGAGGUCCCUGGUUCAAGUCCAGGAUGGCCCAUAUCUCUAUGUUGGGGGUAUAGCUCAGUUGGUAGAGCGCCUGCUUUGCAAGCAGGAUGUCAGCGGUUCGAGUCCGCUUACCUCCACUGAUUACCACCUCUUCCAUAAUUUGUAGAAAGGAAAUGUUUUGAGUUGUGAUCAAAUUCUGAACGAAUCUAGCUUCCUAAUGAAAGCAUUAAGAUGCUGGACUCAUUGAAUUAAUUUCAUUGUUUUCAGAGAACCUUGACAACUGCAUAGAUUAUUUUUUUUAAAGACAAUAAGCAUCUUUAAUGAUGCAGAUUUAUUAUUUGUGCGAAUGCAUUAAUAACAAUUCUAUUAAGCUGAUGCUUCAAUUUUGAAGUUAUU
rnacentral:tRNA from 1 species